AGACGGCUGGGCAGUCGCUGGUGCGCUAGGUAACUGCGCACUGGAGGAAAGUCCGGGCUCCAUAGAGACAAGGCGGUGGAUAACGUCCACCCGGUGUGAACCGAGGGAAAGUGCCACAGAGAGGAUACCGCCUUCAAUUUGAAGGUAAGGGUGAAAGGGUGCGGUAAGAGCGCACCGGGGGGCUGGCGACAGUCCCCGCAAGGUAAACCCCGCUUGGAGCAAGACCAAAUAGGGGACGCGCAUGGGCUGUCUUUGGCCUGCGUCCCGGGUGUGUCGCGUCAGGCACCGCGCGAGCGGUGUCGCAGAGGAAUGAUUGCCCAUCCCGGAAACGGGGGGACAGAACCCGGCUUACAGGCCGUCUGGU
rnacentral:RNase_P_RNA from 1 species